GCUUUUCCCGGGCCAAAGACGGGCCUGAUCCCCGCGACAAGCCAGACAGUGGCCAAGUCAGCCACCCAGUCGUUUCUGUUCUGACCUUCACUGGUCUCAGUCCCUCUGCUCCGGGUUUUAUAAAAUCACAGCUCAGUCCAAUCCCAGAGUCUCAAGUAGGAAGAAUGAAGCUUGAAGAACGGACCCCAGGCUGCGGCUGGGUAGGUUUUCCA